AUUGAACGCUGGCGGCAUGCCUUACACAUGCAAGUCGAACGGUAACAGGUCUUCGGAUGCUGACGAGUGGCGAACGGGUGAGAAUACAUCGGAACGUGCCUAGUAGUGGGGGAUAACUACUCGAAAGAGUGGCUAAUACCGCAUGAGAUCUACGGAUGAAAGCAGGGGAUCGCAAGACCUUGUGCUACUAGAGCGGCCGAUGGCAGAUUAGGUAGUUGGUGGGAUAAAAGCUUACCAAGCCGACGAUCUGUAGCUGGUCUGAGAGGACGAUCAGCCACACUGGGACUGAGACACGGCCCAGACUCCUACGGGAGGCAGCAGUGGGGAAUUUCGGACAAUGGGCGAAAGCCUGAUCCAGCAAUGCCGCGUGCAGGAUGAAGGCCUUCGGGUUGUAAACUGCUUUUGUACGGAACGAAAAGCCCCGGGUUAAUACCCUGGGGUCAUGACGGUACCGUAAGAGUAAGCACCGGCUAACUACGUGCCAGCAGCCGCGGUAA
rnacentral:rRNA from 1 species